UUGCUCAUUUUGGCACUAUAUAUAGUAAAAUUGGAAUGAUACAGAGAAUAUUGGCAUGGCCCUUGUGCAAGGAUGACAUGAAAACUCAUGAAAUGUCCCACAUUUCA
ensembl:snRNA U6 U6 spliceosomal RNA